rnacentral:lncRNA from 1 species
GGUAAAAAUGAUUAUGGCAACAAACAGGCCAGAUGUUUUGGACCCAGCUCUUCUUCGCCCUGGUCGGUUAGAUAAAAAGAUAGAAAUACCCUUGCCUAAUGAACUAUCAAGAAUUGAGAUCCUCAAGAUUCAUGCUGCUGGAAUUGCCAAACAUGGUGACAUUGAUUAUGAAGCUGUUGUUAAGCUUGCCGAGGUGUGCUAGUGAUGCUAUGAAAAUUAGUUUGCUUGUGUUGCCUAAGCGGAGUUUUGACAGUCUGUUUCUCCUCAGGGUUUUAAUGGGGCUGAUCUUCGAAAUGUGUGCACUGAAGCUGGUAUAUCAGCAGUACGUGCAGAACGUGAUUAUGUCAUCCAUGAGGAUUUCAUGAAGG